AAGGUGGAAAAAGCCUUACAGAAUGCA
rnacentral:piRNA from 1 species